AGAGUUUGAUCCUGGCUCAGAUUGAACGCUGGCGGUAGGCUUAACACAUGCAAGUCGUGCGAGAAAGUAUCUUCGGAUACGAGUACAGCGGCGGACGGGUGAGUAACGCGUAGGAAUCUACCUAGUAGAAGGGGAUAGCCCGGGGAAACCCGGAUUAAUACCGUAUACCUCCUUCGGGAGAAAGAAGGCCUCUCUUUGAAGCUUUCGCUACUAGAUGAGCCUGCGUAAGAUUAGCUUGUUGGUGAGGUAAAGGCUCACCAAGGCAACGAUCUUUAGCUGGUCUGAGAGGACGAUCAGCCACAUUGGGACUGAGACACGGCCCAGACUCCUACGGGAGGCAGCAGUGGGGAAUAUUGGACAAUGGGCGCAAGCCUGAUCCAGCCAUACCGCGUGUGUGAAGAAGGCCUUCGGGUUGUAAAGCACUUUAAGCAGGGAGAAAAAGUUAUAAGCUAAUACCUUAUAACCUUGAUGUUACCUGCAGAAUAAGCACCGGCUAAUUCCGUGCCAGCAGCCGCGGUAAUACGGAAGGUGCAAGCGUUAAUCGGAAUUACUGGGCGUAAAGCGCGCGUAGGUGGUUUGUUAAGUUGGAUGUGAAAGCCCUGGGCUCAACCUAGGAACUGCAUCCAAAACUAACUCACUAGAGUACGAUAGAGGGAGGUAGAAUUCAUAGUGUAGCGGUGGAAUGCGUAGAUAUUAUGAAGAAUACCAGUGGCGAAGGCGGCCUCCUGGAUCUGUACUGACACUGAGGUGCGAAAGCGUGGGUAGCGAACAGGAUUAGAUA
rnacentral:rRNA from 1 species